rnacentral:ncRNA from 1 species
GAAAGGCUGCGCGGUCGCGCGGCUGGGAGUGAAAAAAACUUUUCUUACUCCCCAAUUUGA